UACGAAGGGUGCAAACGUUGCUCGGAAUUAUUGGGCGUAAAGCGCACGUAGGCGGCUUAGCAAGUCGGAUGUGAAAGCCCUCGGCUCAACCAAGGAAGUGCAUCCGAAACUGCUGAGCUUGAGUACUUAAGAGGAUCGCGGAAUUCCCGGUGUAGAGGUGAAAUUCGUAGAUAUCGGGAGGAACACCAGUGGCGAAGGCGGCGAUCUGGGAAGAUACUGACGCUGAGGUGCGAAAGCCAGGGGAGCAAACGGG
rnacentral:rRNA from 1 species